rnacentral:lncRNA from 1 species
GGAGAGACCCUGUGACUGCCUUGACCAGUACAGUUUGGCAGAAGUGUUAGGUGACUUCUAAUGCCAAGUCACACACAAAAAUGCUAUUUCUGCCAGGUUAUCUUGGGAAUACUUUGUCUUGGAAUUCAGCCCUCAUGCUGUGAAGAAGUGCAAGCGGACUACGGGGAGGCUGAUGAGGCAAGGAACCAAGGCCCCUGGUCUGCAGCUCCAGCUGAGCUUGCAGCUGCCAGCCUGCAUGAGCUCUCCAGCCUGUGAGAGAGCCAUCCUGACAGAGGGUUACCCUCAGUCAAGUAGCACUAGAUGUGGAGAAGAGACAAGUCAUCCCUGCUUACAAGGCCUACUUACACUGCAGAUUUACCAGGACCAGAGACCAUGCUGGGAAGCCUGGCUGCUCUUUGAGGACUGAGAUGGACUUAGCAAUGCAGAGAAGAACAAAGAGAGGCUUGUGCUCACCGUGUUCCAGAGGGAUCACCGUGUUCCCUUUGUUCAUUUGAGGACAUGAAUACAACUAUGGUCUUUGGACAAAAGGCAUAUGCCAGGCAGUAUGAAUGGUCUCUCUUGUCUGUGCAAUUAGUAUGUAAGAGCACGUGAACUGGUGCCUGGGACCUCUACCUGUUUUAGUAUGAUAACACCGCAGUAAAGGGCCUGGACUUUGUAUGAGCUUGGGAAAAUCAUGUCACCUCUGCAAGUCUUGGUUUCCCUGGGUGUUAAAUGUCAAUUUAAGUAAAAUGCUAUCUACGUUGUUUGUUUUGGAGACUUUCUAUGAGAAUCUGAUAAACUAUAG